GAGUUUGAUCGUGGCUCAGAUUGAACGCUGGCGGCAUGCCUUACACAUGCAAGUCGAACGGCAGCAUGAUCUAGCUUGCUAGAUUGAUGGCGAGUGGCGAACGGGUGAGUAAUACAUCGGAACGUGCCCUGUAGUGGGGGAUAACUAGUCGAAAGAUUAGCUAAUACCGCAUACGACCUGAGGGUGAAAGUGGGGGACCGCAAGGCCUCAUGCUAUAGGAGCGGCCGAUGUCUGAUUAGCUAGUUGGUGGGGUAAAGGCCCACCAAGGCGACGAUCAGUAGCUGGUCUGAGAGGACGAUCAGCCACACUGGGACUGAGACACGGCCCAGACUCCUACGGGAGGCAGCAGUGGGAAUUUUGGACAAUGGGCGAAAGCCUGAUCCAGCAAUGCCGCGUGUGUGAAGAAGGCC
rnacentral:rRNA from 1 species